UACAGGGGGGGCAAGCGCUGUUCGGAAUUACUGGGCGUAAAGGGUUCGUAGGUGGCUUACUAAGUCAGACGUGAAAUCCCUCAGCUUAACUGGGGAACUGCGUCUGAUACUGGAAAGCUUGAGUGCAGGAGAGGAACGCGGAAUUCCCGGUGUAGAGGUGAAAUUCGUAGAUAUCGGGAGGAACACCAGUGGCGAAGGCGGCGACCUGGGCCAAUACUGACGCUGAGGUGCGAAAGCGUGGGGAGCAAACAGG
rnacentral:rRNA from 1 species